rnacentral:misc_RNA from 1 species
GAAAUGCGAUAAGUAAUGUGAAUUGCAGAAUUCAGUGAAUCAUCGAAUCUUUGAACGCACCUUGCGCUCCUUGGUAUUCCUUGGAGCAUGCCUGUUUGAGUAUCAUGAAAUCUUCAAAGUAAAUCUUUUGUUAACUCAAUUGGUUUCUACUUUGGUAUUGGAGGUCUUUGCAGCUUCACACCUGCUCCUCUUUGUUCAUUAGCUGGAUCUCAGUGUUAUGCUUGGUUCCACUCGGCGUGAUAAGUUAUCUAUCGCUGAGGACACUGUAAAAGGUGGCCAAGGUAAAUGCAGAUGAAACGCUUCUGAUAGUCCAUUGACUUGGACAAUACUUUUAUGAUCUGAUCUCAAAUCAGGUAGGACUACCCGCUGAACUUAAGC